AGACCACUUCUCCCGCCUUAUGCCAUUACUCCUGACUAUUCCCUUGAUGGACCGUCUUAUCUCUUUAUUCCUAGCCCUAUCGUAGACAACCAUGGAUACAUGAGAGAAGCAAUUAAACAACGUGGAGCAAUGAUAAUUGAUAGGACUCAGGAGACAGGACCAGGUCCUGCCUGGGAAGAGAAGUGGAUUAAUUAUGUCAACGUCAUCAACUCCAUUAAGCCAUGGAGAACGGCUGGCAAACCAUUCGUGUGUGACCGGCUUUGGCUCUGGACUUGCUGAAAAGGAAGGAAGGAAGGAAAGAAAGAAAAUCCAUGGGGACUGCCUGUAAGCUCUUGGGACUUUAUUAAAUUUGCCAGUUCCCAGACCAGAACAACUGGCCUGGAUAAACAGA